rnacentral:lncRNA from 1 species
UUUUGUUUUAUGAAGUUUUAUGGUUAACUAGGAGAAAAAUAAGUAUCUAGGGUUGUUGACAUAUUUUGUUGAUUUUCGAGAUAAAUGCUAAUACCUCUCCAAUUGUUAUGGUAUUAGAAUUAGGGACAUGAUAAUCAUUGCUAACAAUUUCAUGAAUCGGAUAGAUAGUAGAUUGUGAUGUAACUCUGUUCUAUGUGUGUGUGAGAUACUACUUUGUUCCCUUAGUGUGCCCAGAUC